GGCGAACGCUGGCGGCGUGCUUAACACAUGCAAGUCGAACGGAAAGGCCCUGCUUUUGUGGGGUGCUCGAGUGGCGAACGGGUGAGUAACACGUGAGUAACCUGCCCUUGACUUUGGGAUAACUUCAGGAAACUGGGGCUAAUACCGGAUAGGAGCUCCUGCUGCAUGGUGGGGGUUGGAAAGUUUCGGCGGUUGGGGAUGGACUCGCGGCUUAUCAGCUUGUUGGUGGGGUAGUGGCUUACCAAGGCUUUGACGGGUAGCCGGCCUGAGAGGGUGACCGGCCACAUUGGGACUGAGAUACGGCCCAGACUCCUACGGGAGGCAGCAGUGGGGAAUAUUGCACAAUGGGCGGAAGCCUAAUGCAGCAACGCCGCGUGCGGGAUGACGGCCUUCGGGUUGUAAACCGCUUUCGCCUGUGACGAAGCGUGAGUGACGGUAAUGGGUAAAGAAGCACCGGCUAACUACGUG
rnacentral:rRNA from 1 species